AAACGCUGGGUUGGUUUUUUAACCCAAAUGCUGGGUUGAGACUGCUGGGUAACAAAAUUGGGUUGAUUCAACCCAAUUUGGGUUGAAAAUCGAUCUUUAUCUAUAACCCAGCAGUGCUGGGUUGGGAACGCGGACGUGAAAGAGAGCACGCACGUCACGUCAACAUGCAGGGACAUCAACGUGAGAAACCGCCAUUUUCUUUGCGCUGUCUUUGAGGGGAAGCGAGUGAAAUUCUGUGUGAGAAGUAAGUUAUUUAGUGUGUAUUUAACAAUUUUCAUAAGAAAUAACACACUUAGUUUACUUAGUAUAAUAUACACGCGCUUUUUUUUCUGUUUCUCCGCCUGAUGGCCGACUUGUUGCUCCGCCUCACGCUGACCUGUGCUCGCCUUAUGGCUGAACUGUUGCUCCGAGUCCGCCUGACGAGCCACCUGUUUCUCCGGAUCUGUUUCUCCGCCUAACGGCGACGUGUUUCUCCGGACCUGUUUCUCCGGACCUGUUUCUCCGCCUAACGGCGACCUGUGCUCGCCUCACGCCCGACCUGUUGAUCGGUGGACGGGUAAGCGCGCAUGGCAUCGGAAGGAGCUCGAAAAGUAUAAGGUGAUGACAAUGGAUAAUUGCGUGAAAAUCAAACUAAAAGAA